CGUUAGGCUGGUCUUAGAGCACUUGUUCCCAUAGAUCUUAAUGAUGGGAGGCUCUUAACGGGGCCUCGGGAUCUGAGCAGGUGUGCGUUCGACGAUUGGCCGCUAUUUUCCCAUUGUUAGCCCAACCAAAAUUUUAACCCCUUUGUACUAUUCUGUACUGAACCAAAACUUCUCGAGUUUACUCGCAAGAGUGAGCACGAAAAGAUAUUACGAAACUAAAAUAACAACUCUUAGCAACGGAUAUCUUGGUUCCCGCAACGAUGAAGAACGCAGCGAAAUGCGAUACGUAAUGCGAAUUGCAGAAUUCAGUGAAUCAUCAAAUCUUUGAACGCAAAUUGCACUCUCGGGGAUCCCCGGGAGUACGCUUCUUUCAGUAUCGGUUCUAUCUAACCUCGCCUGCGUUCUUAGGAAUGUUCUGGCGGAGAUUGAGCGUCACACUUUGAACGAAGUUGUGUUGCUUGAAAAGAUAGCUGGAUGCUUCUCGUUCACCCGCUUGGUUCGCUCUUCUCCUCUUCGCGAGGAGCUGAGGCAAACGAAGUGACGUGGUUAAGCUCGCCUUCGUGCGACUACCCCAUCGUCAAUCAUCUUCGUGCGCAUCAGUGUGAUCUUUGGGCAGGUCGAGUANGAAGACUCCGCUUGGAUUAUAUCCAAAUACAAAAAAAAAUCAGAUCUGAAAUGAAGUGAGAGGACCCGCUGAACUUAAGCAUAUCAAUAA
rnacentral:rRNA from 1 species